rnacentral:misc_RNA from 1 species
UUCAAGCCAGAUAGAUUUCUGACAACCCAUACACACGUAGACCUUUUGGGUCAAAAUUUCGAGCUCGUGCCAUUUGGUUCAGGGAGAAGGUCCUGUCCAGGCCUCAACUUUGCUUUGCAAGUAGUACAACUGGGAAUGGCUAGGCUGCUCCAAGGAUUCAACUUCACGACACCAAACAAUGAGCCCGUGGACAUGACUGAGAGCUUAACCUUAUCCUUGUGCAAGGAAACUCCUCUGGAAGUUAUGCUCACCCCACGUCUCGCUCCUGAGCUUUACCAGUACUAAACUAGAAGAUGAUCAUUGGAUAAUAUACAAAGUGCCGUAAUUAUUUAAAUAAAGAGAGGUAACAGUCUAACAGUUGCUUCCUUGUCUAAAAAUAAUAUGUGAACUUCCAG